UUUUAAAUAUAAAUAUGUUCCAUGCAAUAUUUGGGACAUACUUACACUAAAA
rnacentral:pre_miRNA from 1 species